AUUGAACGCUGGCGGAAUGCUUUACACAUGCAAGUCGAACGGCAGCACGGGGGCGAACCCUCGGUGGCGAGUGGCGAACGGGUGAGUAAUACAUCGGAACGUAGCCCACGUCGUGGGGGAGUAACGUAGCGAAAGACUACGCUAAUACCGCAUACGAACUCUGGUUGAAAGCGGGGAGUCGCAAGACCUCGCGCGAUUGGAGCGGCCGAUGGCAGAUUAGGUAGUUGGUGGGGUAAA
rnacentral:rRNA from 1 species